rnacentral:rRNA from 1 species
GUACACUCCUGCGGGAGGCAGCAGUGGGGAAUUUUGGACAAUGGGCGAAAGCCUGAUCCAGCAAUGCCGCGUGAGUGAAGAAGGCCUUCGGGUUGUAAAGCUCUUUUGUCAGGGAAGAAACGGUGAAAGCUAAUAUCUUUUGCUAAUGACGGUACCUGAAGAAUAAGCACCGGCUAACUACGUGCCAGCAGCCGCGGUAAUACGUAGGGUGCAAGCGUUAAUCGGAAUUACUGGGCGUAAAGCGUGCGCAGGCGGUUUUGUAAGUCUGAUGUGAAAUCCCCGGGCUCAACCUGGGAAUUGCAUUGGAGACUGCAAGGCUAGAAUCUGGCAGAGGGGGGUAGAAUUCCACGUGUAGCAGUGAAAUGCGUAGAUAUGUGGAGGAACACCGAUGGCGAAGGCAGCCCCCUGGGUCAAGAUUGACGCUCAUGCACGAAAGCGUGGGGAGCAAACAGGAUUAGAUACCCGAGUAGUCCCAUGA